rnacentral:rRNA from 1 species
GAUGAACGCUGGCGGCGUGCCUAAUACAUGCAAGUAGAACGCUGAAGCUUGGUGCUUGCACCGAGCGGAUGAGUUGCGAACGGGUGAGUAACGCGUAGGUAACCUGCCUCUUAGCGGGGGAUAACUAUUGGAAACGAUAGCUAAUACCGCAUAAAAGUCGACAUCGCAGGAUGUUGACUUGAAAGGUGCAAUUGCAUCACUAAGAGAUGGACCUGCGUUGUAUUAGCUAGUUGGUGAGGUAACGGCUCACCAAGGCGACGAUACAUAGCCGACCUGAGAGGGUGAUCGGCCACACUGGGACUGAGACACGGCCCAGACUCCUACGGGAGGCAGCAGUAGGGAAUCUUCGGCAAUGGGGGCAACCCUGACCGAGCAACGCCGCGUGAGUGAAGAAGGUUUUCGGAUCGUAAAGCUCUGUUGUAAGAGAAGAACGAGUGUGAGAGUGGAAAGUUCACACUGUGACGGUAACUUACCAGAAAGGGACGGCUAACUACGUGCCAGCAGCCGCGGUAAUACGUAGGUCCCGAGCGUUAUCCGGAUUUAUUGGGCGUAAAGCGAGCGCAGGCGGUUAGAUAAGUCUGAAGUUAAAGGCUGUGGCUUAACCAUAGUACGCUUUGGAGACUGUUUAACUUGAGUGCAGAAGGGGAGAGUGGAAUUCCAUGUGUAGCGGUGAAAUGCGUAGAUAUAUGGAGGAACACCGGUAGCGAAAGCGGCUCUCUGGUCUGUAACUGACGCUGAGGCUCGAAAGCGUGGGGAGCAAACAGG